rnacentral:rRNA from 1 species
CCAGACAGCCAGGAUGUUGGCUUAGAAGCAGCCAUCAUUUAAAGAAAGCGUAAUAGCUCACUGGUCGAGUCGGCCUGCGCGGAAGAUGUAACGGGGCUAAACCAUGCACCGAAGCUGCGGCAGCGACACUAUGUGUUGUUGGGUAGGGGAGCGUUCUGUAAGCCUGUGAAGGUGUCUCGUGAGGGAUGCUGGAGGUAUCAGAAGUGCGAAUGCUGACAUAAGUAACGAUAAAGCGGGUGAAAAGCCCGCUCGCCGGAAGACCAA